rnacentral:rRNA from 1 species
AAAUAGAACUUUGCAGAGAGAGUUAACAGGGCGUGAAACCGUUAAUUGGCAAACGAAUCGGAGCCACGAAGUCGUUUCGUAGAUAGCUUGGGCUGAGUUCAGCUUAAAACUUCGGUUUUGAGUGUAUUCUUGUGCCUAGCCAAUCUUUGUAAGCGUACACUGCAACCAGUUAGACAAUUGACAAUGGGCCAAGUUGAGUUAUUUAAGUUAGUAGUAGCGGGCUAAGCACUUGUGUUUAGUUUGUUGCUGAACUUAAGUAAGUGAACUAUUGACAAAUACUGACUGGCAAAAUAAAAAUCGCCGAAAGGCGUAGUUCAACAAAGCAACUAGUCAAACGUGUGUCUACGCAUCUGACCAUGAGAUCUUUUAAGCUUGGCAUUUUUGAAUUUGAACUUGCUUGCUACCAAUGGGGCAACUCUUGGUGCUUGUAUAGCUUCAUCUAAUCGGGUGUCAACUUGGUCUUGUGUUGAUUGGGUGUGAAGCGAUUGGGUGCAUGUUUUAUUAGUUUGCAAUUUGUAUUGGCAGUGAGUAGGUCGGCUUUCCGAACGACCCGUCUUGAAACACGGACCAAGGAGUCUAAUUAGGCAUCAAGUCGAUCGGUCUUGAAUAGGCCAGACAAAGUACUUCUACUUGAUUGAAGGCGUAGAGAAAUCAUGUGAUCGUAUAAACUCUUCGGAGGUUUGCGCGCAACAUGUGCCUGUUCGUAUAGCAAUUGUUUACUUUUAUUGCUGGCGGAGCAAAGAGAUGCUUGAUUGGUACCCGAAAGAUGGUGAGCUUGGGCAAAUUGAAGCCAGAGGAAACUCUGGUGGAGGAUUGUAGCGAUUCUGACGUGCAAAUCGAUCGUCAGACCUGAGUAUAGGGGCGAAAGACUAAUCGAACCAUC